rnacentral:rRNA from 1 species
UACAGAGACUGCAAGCGUUAUUCGGAUUCACUGGGCGUAAAGGGUGCGCAGGCGGCCAAGUGUGUUAGGCGUGAAAGCCCGGGGCUUAACCCCGGAAUUGCACCUAAAACUACAUGGCUAGAGCAUUGGAGAGGGUGAGCGGAAUUCACGGUGUAGCAGUGAAAUGCGCAGAUAUCAGGAGGAACAUCAGUGGCGAAGGCGGCCCUCUGGUCCAGUACUGACACUCGAAGUGACGAAAGCGUGGGGAGCAAACAGG